rnacentral:snRNA from 1 species
AGAUGUGAAAGGGCAAUCAGGAUGGGAUAUCUAUCAUUUCAUGUUCAGCAGGGUUGUUCUGGCUAAUCUGGCUGGCUAGACAGGUUCCCCUUCUUCCCUUACAGCUUCCUAUCCCUCCCUCCUAAAGCUGUGCAUUGAUGGAAGGGAACAACCAUUCCAGAAAGGAGUCUACCAAUCUUCUUUCAAGAAUGUACAAUUAAGUCCCCUGCUAGAAUCACCAAACAAAUUCAAGGUCCAGGGAUUAAGCUGACAGAAGGUGAUGCUUGAUAAGUCAGAGACAACUGUGGAUACGUU